CACACACACCACACACACAAGAAUGUAUACAGAGGAAAAACCAGACACUAGUCAAACAGACAGACAUUCAUGAUGACUCUCUUUCUCUCUCAGGGCAGUAAACCCUUGGUGCAAAAAUUCACACAGUCCUGUGUGCAGAACUCAGUACCAUCGUAGAGUUCUGUCCCUGUGGCCUAAGUGUUCCCACAAGGUCUUCUAGUAUGGCCAUACCAAGGACUGAUUUCAAUCUGAUUGUCCAAUGAGGCACCCCCCGCCCCCGUGUCACACAGCAGGGUGGCCUUUAUGCAGUGGCCAGUGGCUCUAAUCAGACAAGAGAGAUGGCAGGGGUGCUAGACGGGACAGAAUGAACCUACUUGGGAUCACAGCCCUGGCAAGUGGGAACCCCAGCAAGAUAUGAGCUCACACACUCUCUGAGUGCCUUGUCUACACAGCCGACACAGCCUUCCUUCUCUGCCUCAAAGCUCUCAUUCCCAGAUUCCCGGAAUAGGACAGUCUGCAGGUGGGAAUAACAUCCUUGGGCAAAUGCCCCUGAUUUCAAGCCUGUGCUUUUCUUGUAGGCACACUGUUGGUCCCUGAGCACUAACACACCAGAGGGCAGACUUAGUCAUCUACACCUGCCUAUACCCAGCUUUAAAAAACUGUUUUUGUUUUUGUUUUGUUUUGUUUUUUUAAGAUUUAUUUAUUUACUGUGAAUGGUGCUUUGCCUACAUGUAAGCAUGCCUACUCACCAGAAGAGGGCACCAGAUCUCAUUACAGAUGCUUAUGAGCCACCGUGUGGUUGCUAGGAUUUGAACUCAGGACCACGGAAGAGCAGUGCUCUUAACCUCUGAGGUAUCUCUCCAGUCCCUUAAGAAAAUCUUAAAACCUGAACGUGCUGCACUGUAGAAGGCAAACCUCACUCCCAGACAACUCGAAACAAGCCAGGAUAAGCCCGGGUUGAAAGAGGAAUGCACAUCCCAGCUCAACCCCCUGGUUCAGAGAGAAGGAGCAGCCUAGGUACCUAGAGACCUGUCCCUUAUCUGACUGUGUCUGAUGCACAGACAGGAGCUUGAGCUGUGCAGAUGGCUUUGCUGUUCCCUGGAGGGGCUUCCUUCCUUAUUCACAGUGACAGGUUCAGCUCUCAGUCUGAGCUGGCAGCCAUAGGCAGGGAAGGGGAAUGGGUUUCCUGGCUGCUGGGGAAAUCUUCUAAUCUGCUGGCUUCUGCUUGAGGAACCCCCAGAAAGAGAUUAGCAUUGGGACCCUGUGGAGUCUGUUUAUUGGUCAACUGAUCCUGGGACAUGUGUAGCCAUACUCUCUUCCCACAGCCUUUUACAUAUGAAGAAACUACUGGCCCUGGGGGAAUCCUUGGAGGUAGAGAAUGGGGGCAAAGGACCCUAGGUGGCUGGGACAAGGCUGAGCCUGCCCCGACCCAAUACUCUGUGCACCUCAAGCCUAGGAUCUCACUAGAAACAGGGGAGUAGUGGCUUGGCCAGAUCGAGCUGAACAACCCUUGAGAUGGACAACACCAUCCCAUCCAGCCCCCAACCAUCCCAUCAAACACAACGCAUUUUCCCUGUGUAUCAAUCUGCAGUGGGCUUUCCACGCUGGGCUCAGAUCUGCUGCCUCUGAGAUUUCAGAGCACAGAAGUCUAUCCUGACCAGCCUCAUCCUUUUUCAAGGCUGAAGGCAAGGAAAUAAGUCAUUGCCCUGAACCUGAGACCACCUUAGAUUCCAGGAGUCAGGAUGGGAGGGUGCAGAUCUCACACAACCGAUUCUCCCAAGAGAAAGAACACAGCUAUGCAUGGCCUCCAAGCCGCAAGUCCUUUAGGACUUCUGGUCCUGUUACUGCAUCACAACAAAGACAGUGUGAUCGAACAGCCCACGCCUUGACCUGUACAACUCAAUAAAGCAUGUCCCCUGUCUCUGUCGCCCCACCCCCAGCUCUGAUUAUUUCUUUAUCUGAGCCUUAGACUCGCAUUAGUACCUUAAGAUAAGCUUGAGGUCACUGGGCCCUUUAUCUGCCGCCCUUCCCAAUAUGGCUACAGUGAGUAUCUGCUCUCUUUUCCCCAUUUGUUUCUUCAGUGUAUUGGGGUGCGUGGAUGAAUCUCACUUUGUGGGGCUCCAAAGCCAAGGCUUUACCCUAAGGCCUCUGGUGACAUGCUACUUUAAAUUAAUCAGAUCUGAAUGUAUAAUUAGCAACUAGGAGGAAGACCAAUGACAAAAAUAAGUGGACCCCCCACCAUCUCCCCCAGACUCUUGCUGGAGACAGCACCAACCAAGCCAAGAGCUAGAAACCUGUGGACAUCCUCCCUGAAAAGAAGUGGAGCAGAGGCCCUAGGAAGAUUAUCCCAAGAAGGUGUUUGCCCCUGGAGCAGCGACAGGAAUGUAUGUCAAAGGCUGAGAAGGUUGGGGCCCAUUAGAGGAGAUGAAGCCUUUCCAAAAUGCCUUAAUCCCAUCAAAGGAUGGGGUGUACCAGAGAACACCAUAAUCCCAUCAAAGAGUGAGAGGGAACUGGGGAGAUCCUACCCCAGGUCCUGGAAGGAAGCUGGUUGUGAGAAAUGGGACCGUCUCCACCACAGGAAGAAGCAGCUGCCUUGGGGGCAGGGGAGCUCUGGCUGGGAACUCUAAACACAGGGAGAGAGGAGAAUCCACCCAUCCAGAUAGCUGGAGCAGCCAGCAGGCAAGCUUGGCAGCUGCCGCUCGAAGAGCCUCAAAAGGCCUGUGCACGGAGGGCUUCUUGGCAAGCACGUCAGGUGAGGUGGCAGACCUCUUGGGGCCACUGGGAUUGCUCAUCGCAAAGGAUGCUGUACUGGCUGGUUUUGUGUUUCAACUUGACACAAGCUGGAGUUAUCACAGAGAAAGGAGCCUCCCAGGAGGAAAUGCUUCCAUGAACCCAGCUGUAGGGCAUUUCCUCAAUUAGUGAUCAAGGGGGAAGGACCCAACCCAUUGUGGGGGGUGCCAUCCCUGGGCCCAUAGUCCUGGCUUUUAUAAGAAAGCAGGCUGAGCAAGCCAGGGGAAGCAAGACAGUAAGUAACAUCCCUCCAUGGCCUCUGCAUCAGCUCCUGCUUCCUGACCUGCUUGAGUUCCAGUCCUGACUUCCUUUGGUGAUGAACAGCAAUGUGGAAGUGUAAGCUGAAUAAACCCUUUCCUCCCCAACUUGCUUCUUGGUCAUGGUGUUGUGUGCAGGAACACAAGCCCUGACUGGGAUGGAUGCAGAGGGUAUUUAUGAUUGUCAUAAUCUGAGAUGAACUGAGGGAACAUCCCAAACCCAGCAGAAGCUCACUGUCAAGCAUUCAGAGCAUAGGAUGUCUUACAAGAAUCUGUAAUGCAGUCUGUGAAGUGUCACUGAGUGGAAACCACUUCCUGUCCCUUCUCUAUCCAGAUGGCGCAGGUAAGGCCUUGGCCAGGGGGCCAGUUUUCUGGGAGCUAAGCUUGAGUUUGGUGGGCCGGCUAGGGGUUGGGCAACUGUGAAAGACAACGGAGAUGGCCACCAUCACAGCACCCACGAGCUGCAGGCCGAAAGGAAGCCUGGGUAAGUGGGAGAGGCGGACAGGAAGGUGAGCAAAGGAGCCCUAAACGGAGGAGUAGUGUUGGAACAGAAAGGGAAGGACUCAAGAUCACAGGGAGAGAGGCUGGGCUGGGAAGUCUGAAGUCUGACAGACACAAUCAGCAUGUGACACAGUGACAGUGAUCCUGGGGGCCUCAGAGCAGCAGGGCCAGACCUCUGCCACCAUUCUCUCAGGAAGGGAGAAGCAGUUGUGGGAGGUGAAUUAGAGAAUUGACAAGAGAGCCUGGAAUCUGGUGGUUUAAAGAGGUCAGUGAGGGACGGGCUUCAGAAAAGGAGGGGAUGUCAAGUGAUUGGGCCCAGCUGACCUGAGAGAGAGGAGUGGCUUAUCCUUCUAAAACUUUUCUUACCAGACCUUAAGAAGAUCCUGGUACGGUUUUCUCUCACAAUUAGGAAUCAGCCCAGCAGAAGGGAUGAUGUCAGUCUCUUUGAAGAUGUCCAGGAUCCUGCAUGAAGCAGGAAGGAAGCCGUGUCUGGCAGAAGACACACCACAGUGAAGUAGAGAAAAUAGACCCGCCCCUCCCCCAUUUCUCCUCAUGCGGGAGAAAGGUGGAUGCCCUACUGGGAUGAAGUGAUGAGACGGGGACCAACAGCAGAGUGAGCCAUCAACAGAGGCUGAUCGAGCACUGAUCAAGGCAUACAGCAGAGGACAACCCAGGGCUUGAAGCAAAGUCCACAGACCUCAGGAACAGCUGACUCAAAGGGAAUCUUUAAGCCUCACAAAAGAGGGUGCCCCAGUCUGAGGUGACAUGUCUUCACAGAAAGCAAAGUCUUUAAUGCAUACACUAUGCUCUGUAAAAAGACUCUGGCCCCAGGACUGCACGGUGGGGCUGUGUAUGCCUGGCAAUUGCAGGCAGAAUGCCCAGCACACACAGUGAAGGAGUCCCUAGAGAGCUUCGUGAGAGCUAACCUAGUCCCCAGGGUAGCAUGGGGAGAUAGGUAAGGCAGAGGGAUUGCUACACUUGGGAGCCACGAAAACAUACCGACUUUGACUUUUUUAAAAAGGAUUUAAACAAAAAUACAUGACUAUGGGGGCCACCAUCAACAGAGGGGCCCGCACACACAAGUACAUGUAAAAACCACAAAUGAAUGGAGCUAGAGCUCCUUUAACAUGAUUUCUGACAUACGCGUGUGAGGGUGACUGUGAGGAUGUAGGACACCCCAUGGGCAAAGCUGCUUGAAGUGCACCUCCAAACCACAGAAGAUCACACUCUUAAGCAGAGAUGACCCUGGGUUCUCCAACCGCCCAUCCCCCUCCCCCCCGCCCCAGCUCGGUGCAAUCUGCAACAAAACAUUUAACGGCCUCUGUUGCCCUCUAGUGGUCGCUUCUGGAAACACACUUUUUCCUCUUGGUAGGGACAAGUUCCUAGGCAAAUUGUGGGAGGCCCUGCGGAUUCUCUCCAGCGGUGUCCUCAUCUGCCAAAAUCAAUGGGCAAGUUCGCAGCAAACCCCCAAAGUGGCGCUCCUAGCCUGUCUGCGCAGUGAAAUCCAUACAGAAAGUCACCCACCUAGUCUCUACAUUUCGAAAUCAAUUCUAAUAGAAACAACUACGCAGACUAACGAUGAGAACAGCGUCUAAGAGAUGAGAGCCCAGAGCUCCCACCUUAUUCACGGUGGGCUAGCUUCCAGACACUCGCGUACCCCUUUUCAUUUGUGUCCUGUCAAUACAGAAUGGAAAAAUUACAGGGAUAAGCAGCU